CUAUAUCUGCACCCCUGUCUAAUCUGCUUGAACUAGUUUUGCCCCAGACAGAUGAAAAACAAAGAACUUGCCAAAGAGUGUAAGAUCUGUCCAAGAAGCAAGAUGAAUUGCUCGUCUCUGGGCCACCAGUAGGAUCAGAAGCAGACAAUAAAUGGUUCUAGGCAACACCCCUUUUCUCACAUGGAAGAGUGAUCCCUUUAAUGGGAUUAAAGAGAAGAUGUCAUUUCCUGCUUCCAUGCCUGAAAGUGAGAGAAUUGUUAAUUGGUCUUCAUUAAAACACAGAGCCAAGUCCUCUGCAUUCCACCCACUGUGUAAUACUGAGAAGAAAACACUCCCAGCACUGGAACCCACGUGUGUGUGCUAAAUAACAACACCACUCCUCUAUAUGAUGUACCAGAUAUUCCUUACACAAAACU